rnacentral:tRNA from 1 species
GGGCUUGUAGCUCAGUGGACUAGAGCACAUGGCUACGAACCAUGCGGCCGGGGGUUCGAAUCCCUCCAAGCUCA